ensembl:lncRNA MIR663AHG MIR663A host gene
GGUGACUCCAACGGUUGGCUGAGGACGAUUCCCUGAGCCUUGACAAAGCAGGAGCCCUCCGUGGCGGUGCGUCGGUGUCGAGGCUCCAGUCUGACUAAUCCAGGGGGUCGACAAAACAGAUUCGGGACACUAUGCUACACGGAGGGCCUACCAGGAUGCAGAAACAGCAGACGGAGUCCAGGGAAAGCAGUGCGGCAUCCCAGCCUCAGGCCUGCCCGUACGGUGUUCGGAUAGCAAGACAAAUCUCUCCUCUGCCUUCUCCUUAUCAGACUACUCAACAUGAAGGCAAUAAGAAUGAAGACCUCUAUGUAUAAUAAUUGACUUCCACUUAAUAAAUAAGGUUACUUGGUACACUGGUCGACAAAACCUUGAAAUGUUGAUGUUUAAGGGCUGUUGAUUGCUGGCAGCAAAGAAGUCCAACUGUGCUGGUACCCGAGAUAGCGUCUCCACAUUUUCUUCCAGGAUCAUCACCUUUGUUCUAAAUAGCUCCCACAUAGUGUGAACAGAAGUCAUAUGUUUUAGAUUUUCUGCCUUGGCACCCAGGAAACCAGUAUGAUUGAGUAAACAUAUUAAACUUCCUCUGCAUUUCCAGCCUGAACAGAUGUUGAGUACAAGCUGAUCCACCUACGUUCAACCUGAGAGAGUCCACAUCCACAGACUGUUUCAUUUCCCUUUUUCAAUUUACAUAGAAGCAUAGAUUCUUGCUGGCAUAUACAAAUGCGCCAUUUAAGGCAAUCAAAAAUGGUUCCACAUCUCAUCUGAUUUCCACAAUUGUUGCUGUAACGAUGGACUACUGAGGAGAGAGACAAUUUCUCUGGCACAUCUUCCCACAUUUUAGCAACAUGUUCAUGGAGAGCCAAUAUUCAGUAAUUACAGCCCAAUUCCUCACAAUUUCACAAUUCGCUAACAAUAUGCAUUUUCACAAUGUAAAGCUGAUUUUCCUUUAACCAAAUCAAACAUGAAAAGAUAGCUGCAUGCAAUGGGCAAUCUAGAUCAUUAGAAGAUUGAUGUAAAAUUAGAGGACACUGAGACUGGAAUAGAUUGCAAACUUCAGGGAGCUCAGAAAACUUGUAAACUCUACAUUUUGAGGAAAUAUGUUGUCGAUGCUUUUGCAACUCUAUGCAGUAACUUAACAAAUAAAGCCUUAAAGUAACU